CUCUAGAGUUGCGCUACUUCCUCCAGAUCCUAACCAAAGAGAAGAAAGAGAGGGGAAAAUGACGCACUUCUAGCAGCGAAAGAAAACAGCAGGGCCGUCGACGGCUGGCAUUAUCGGAGGCAUCAUUGGUGUGGUCCUCUUGCUGGCGAUCGUGGGCGCUGCCAUCGUGCUGGUCCGCAAACGCAAGCAGAACGCAGAGAACGGAGAUGGUCCUCCCAAGCACAAGCCCCCUCCGCCUGUGAAGACCGGCAGCUCCACAGAGAUGCUGAACAAGCAUGUCACGGACCCAGUGACGAAGGAGUUGACAGAGACCCAGCCUUUAAGUAAGGUCUACUACGAGACCAGCGGAGAGCCUGUCACGGAUCUGGAUGCCUGCGACGAUGACGAUGAAAACGCCGCCGGCGGUGGGGCUGCUAAUGGCGGCGGCCCUGCUGUCCUGGAGGACUCGAUACGGUAUGCCGAUGUCGACGACACGCUAAAUGACGGAGCCCUGCCGCCGUACUCCGGCGCGGGCGGUCAACACGUUGACGAGCCGCCGUCGGCCACUGUGGCCCGCGGAGAAAGUUUUGUGUCGGCAGCCAUGUAUGUUUAGCAGAUGACGUUUUAGCCUCCGUGACGACGACAACAACAACGUGCCUGUAGACCCAGGAAGGCUCUGGACCGAUCCAGCCUCCUGAUGUGAUCAGAACCUAAAUGCAGUGUUUACUACUCUUGUGAUUCCGGAAAGGUAAUAUCACCAGAAACACAAUUCAAAAUAUCACCAGAAUUAUCACUCGAAACUGUUUGUUUGAAUGUUGCAGUGUUAUACUUAAGCAAUAAGGACCAGAAAUGGUGUGGUAUACAGCCAACAUACCCCGGCUAAGGGCUGUUCUUCUGGGUACAGCCCUUAGCCGUGGUAUAUUGGCCAUAUACUACAAACUCCCGAGGUGCCUUAAUGCUAUUAUAAACUGGUUACCAACGUAAUUAGAACUGUGGUAUACGGUCUGAUAUACCACAGCUUUCAGCCAAUCCGCAUUCAGGGCUCGAACCACCCAGUUUAUAAUGUACAGUAAGCAUCCUCAGACCAAAAUGCCGUUUUAUGGCAGUAUGAACAGAAUGAGGUUGUCACUGCUUUAUAACAUUGCAACAUGACAAAGUUUAAGAAUCUGACUCAUGUUUUGGGUUCAAUCUAAAUUGCAAGAGCUGGCAAUACUACGUUGUUAGGGUAACGAAGUGUGACAUCUUUGUUUCCAGCAAAGCACACAAUGCAAACACAAUUAUCAAUGAGCGUGCAAUCCCCCCCCCCUCCCGCCCCACCACACAAAAGAUUAAUAUUUAAGUCCAAUUAAAUUCAAAUUUUAAGGAUUGUAUUUUCAGUGUCAAAAUACCCAGCAUAUAUUGGAAAAUACUGCCAUUAGUACCAAUUUAUGUAGAUGAAGUGGCUAUUAUACGCUGUAAUAUAUGCUGUUUAUUUUACACGCAGUGAAAUAUGAAUUGAAAUCUAUUCUAUUUUAGUCUUAUUCUUUUAUGUACCGAAACACAAAUGUGCAAAACGUCAUUGAUGAACAAUUAUGUGAGACCGUGUCAAGUUGGUCAAAGAUGUCAAAGUGAACCAAAUUAUCAACGAACACUGUACAUAAUAAUGCUGAUUUAAUAUAUUGUCGGUGAAAUGUGUAAAAUGUCAAAACAAAAAAACGAGUGUAGGUGUUUUCAGAACCUCUAUGUAUAGGGGUGUCAGUUUCCAAGUGAAAUUGGAAAAAAAAAAGUAUACAUUUUACUUUAACGGGUAUUGAGGUUGUCAGUCACAAGGCUUAUGUUUAAUCUAAAAAUGCUGUGUGGAUUUUUGCCCUUGUAACUCUGCAUGGCAUGAUCGGUGGCUUGUUUCAAUCAGUUGGCUCACUUUUUCCCCAAGGCUACUUAGACACACCAGGGCUUAUACUUUUUGAAUGUUGUCGAUGUCUUUGCGUUCCUCCAUUGUAUCGUCUACUUCAAGCACAAACACAUGGAUGUGGAGCAGCGGGGUGAUUUAGGCCGUAUAGAAGGCGCAGAGCACGACUUGAGAUACUUAGUCAGUCAGCAUAUGACUAUGUUCUGUCAACAGAGUGCUUACUGCAGGGCGCAAUAAACAGAGUUGUAUGUAACUCUUGCUGAGUAAUGGGAACAAAAAUCAUUGGUUCUGGCCGUUCCAAAGAGCUUGAGUCGCACAAUUCCACGAGGGCAUUGAUCUGUCCGCGUCACCUCAGAGGCAAGCGAGGCUAUACUCGCUAAGUACAUUAGCAUGUUGAAUUAAAUAAAACGACGCGAAGAAAAAGACAAAACGUGAACAAAAAGCACAUGUAGCUUUGUAAGUAAAUAUAUAGAUACUAUGACACUAAUGAUUGCUGGACAGAUGUAGAAAAAAUAGAUAUGGUAUAUAGACUGUUAGGUGGGCAUACGGACGCAGAUAAAUAGAACACAGUAGUAACUGCCUACCUCACGGUUCUUUAUUCAAUCAGUCAGUGCUCCACUGCGCUAUUGUCGUUUUUUUUGUUGAUGUGACAAUCACUUUGAAAACCACUUUCAUUGGCUUUUGGUGGCACUUCGGGUCUCUAUGGUGUUUCUUUUAAAGAUAAUGUCUGCAUGCUGCAUGGAACUAUGGGUAGCUCAACUUCUUCUCUGUGCAAAAAGACUCGUGCCGCCAUUUUUUAAAACGUAUGGCUGUGGACGGCGGGCUCGCAUAAAGUGGUGCAGUGUCAGACAAUCACAUCUGAAUUUUAUAGCCCUUACACAGGUCAGAGUUCAAAGGGAAAUUAACUGUGCAUUUUUUAAAAUUUGCUUUUAUAAACUGUGAUUCCAUCUUUUAAUUUUUUAAAAUUUAUUGCUUCAUAUUGCCGUCGGAAAUAUAUUGAACUGUUUUGUGUUUUGCCUAUAAAAAGAGCCUCAAAAUUUAAGAUGUGUUGAUAUAUUGAGUUUAGAAAACGACAAUCAUUGGGCCCCCUGGGUUUGUUAUUAUCAAAGACCAAUGAGUCAGCAUUCUGUUUAGUUCUGUUGUUUUAUAGUCAAGGCAUCUGAUAACGAUUUCUCGCUGCAGCAUGAGUUGCAGUGUGUGUUUGCCAAGCGCUUUGCCUCCGUCCCGAUAGGUUUAAUGCCAAAAAAUACAAACUGUGAAUGUUAGCGAUUAACGCUAAUCUGAAUCCGGUCUUCUUCCUUCCCCGCUUGUUUAAUUAUCUCACAUUCAUUGUCGCAUUUUUUUUUUCAUCACCAAGCCAGAUGUGCCUUCGUUACUUUAUUUUUUUUAGCUUGUUCACUUACACAUUUGUUUCUGUCUUAGAAAAUAAAUAUGAGAUUAAAAAAAGACGAGGUAACCUCUGAUUGUGGAAAGCCAAACACUUGAUCAUUGUGAUUAUUUUUUUUGUAAACAUGUUCUUAAUUUUCCUUUCCCCCCUUUUUUUUUAAAUUUCAUUUGCUUUUUUGAAAACCUAUUAUGUGUUUUAAG
ensembl:lncRNA